UACGAAGGGGACUAGCGUUGUUCGGAAUUACUGGGCGUAAAGCGCACGUAGGCGGAUUUGUUAGUCAGGGGUGAAAUCCCGGGGCUCAACCUCGGAACUGCCUUUGAUACUGCAAAUCUCGAGUCCGAUAGAGGUGGGUGGAAUUCCUAGUGUAGAGGUGAAAUUCGUAGAUAUUAGGAAGAACACCAGUGGCGAAGGCGGCUCACUGGUCCGGUACUGACGCUGAGGUGCGAAAGCGUGGGGAGCAAACAGG
rnacentral:rRNA from 1 species